UGUUGAACCAACCAUUAUCAAUGACAAAGUAAGCACACACCGACCCGAACGGAACCUCUAUCCAUACAUACAUUUUUAAUAAAUAAUAUAUAUUUUCACAUACUUUUUCUCAGUCCGUUUCGAACCCAUACAUUAAAGCUCCUCACAAAUCUCACCAGUUUCGAACCUAAUCUACUCUCUCACCAUUUCUUUUCUUUCACGCUCAUGUGAUUCUUUUUCCUACUUUUUCCUUUUUUUUUUUUUCUCUCUUUGUAAGCUCCUUCUCAUUGCUGCAACGAAGGGUCUGUUUGGGGUGCUCGGGAUUCUUUUUUUUGUAGGUAUGGGUAUAGCUACAGCUCCGUUGAAUUUGCUUCUGGGAGAUGAUGCAUUUUUUUAUUUUUUUUUUGUGUGUUGUUUCUCUGAUUUCUUGGUGACUAAACGGAACUCGCAUUGUUAUCUGAUUUUUGUGUGAUUUCUUCUCAGAAAAUUGAUCGUUACUGUCAUCGCGUUGCUUACUUGAAGCUCCAUUGUUGGAUCAUUUUGAUCUCGGUUCAGGCAAUCAUGGUGUCAAGGUCUUACAUGAGUUUGUUGGAAUUUGCAUCUGGGGACAUGUUAAAUUUCCCUCAGACUCCUAGAAUCCUUCCAAGGGUGAUGACUGUUCCCGGAAUCAUUUCUGAUGUAGACAGUGGUGCAAGUAGUAAUGAAGAUUUAGAUGUUCCCUCUAAAAUCCGUGAAAAGAUAAUUAUAGUGGCAAAUUUUCUCCCUCUAAAUGCUCAAAAGGACCCAGAAUCUGGCAGAUGGUGCUUUAGUUUUGACGAGGAUGCACUUUUAUUGCAACUGAAGGAUGGUUUCUCAUCUGAUAGUGAUGUUGUUUAUGUGGGAUCUCUGAAGGUUGACAUUGAUGCCAGAGAGCAAGAAGAAGUUUCCCAAAGACUGCUGGAGGAGUUUAAUUGUGUGCCCACAUUCCUCCCUCCUGACCUCCAGAAAAAGUUCUAUCAUGGGUUCUGCAAGCAAUAUUUGUGGACCCUUUUUCACUACAUGCUGCCCCUGUCCCCAGACCACGGUAAUCGCUUUGACCGGAUGCUUUGGCAGGCCUAUGUUUCUGCGAAUAAAAUAUUUGCUGAUAAGGUUAUGGAGGUCAUCAAUCCUGAAGAUGAUUAUGUGUGGAUUCAUGACUAUCAUCUCAUGGUUCUCCCUACAUUUUUGAGAAAGCGUUUCAAUCGAGUUAGGCUUGGCUUCUUCCUUCAUAGCCCAUUUCCGUCAUCAGAAAUCUACAGGACUCUGCCUGUCAGAGAUGAGAUUCUGAAAGCACUGCUUAAUUCAGAUUUGAUUGGUUUUCAUACGUUCGACUAUGCUCGCCACUUUCUCUCUUGUUGCAGUAGAAUGCUGGGCUUGGAGUAUAAAUCUAAGCGGGGCCACAUUGGACUUGAAUAUUUUGGACGCACAGUUUAUAUCAAAAUUUUGCCCGUGGGCAUUCAUAUGGGUCGACUUGAAUCUGCAUUGAAUCACCCUACUUCUUCCAUCAAGGCCAAAGAGAUCGCAGAGCAAUUCAAGGGGAAAAAGCUUAUUAUUGGUGCUGAUGACAUGGACAUUUUCAAAGGCAUUAGUCUAAAAUUAUUAGCCAUGGAGCAGCUUUUGCAGCAGAAUCAAGAGUUAAGGGGGAAACUUGUUCUGGUGCAAAUUGUAAAUCCUGCAAGGAGCACAGGAAAGGAUGUUCAGGAGGCAAAAAGGGAGACAUAUAUGACUACCAGAAGGAUAAAUAAGGUUUUUGGUUUUCCAGGUUAUGAACCAGUUGUCCUUAUUGAUCGUAAGGUGCCUACAUAUGAGAAGACUGCCUAUUAUGCUUUGGCAGAAUGUUGCAUUGUCAAUGCUGUGAGGGAUGGUAUGAACCUAGUCCCAUACAAGUACAUUGUUUGUAGGCAAGGGACUGCAAAAAUGGAUGAAGCUUUGGGAAUCACCUCUUCAUCUCCUCGUGCUAGUACACUUGUUGUUUCUGAGUUCAUAGGAUGCUCCCCAUCCCUAAGUGGGGCAAUUAGGGUGAACCCAUGGGAUAUUGAUGCUGUGGCCGAUGCGCUAAAUUUGGCCAUCACGAUGCCUGAUUUAGAGAAGCAGUUGCGGCAUGAGAAGCACUUUCGCUACAUUAGCUCUCAUGAUGUGGCUUACUGGUCUUGCAGCUUCCUGCAGGAUCUGGAGAGGGCCUGCAAAGAUCACUAUAGUAAACGAUCCUGGGGCAUUGGUUUUGGUCUUAGUUUCAGAAUUUUGUCUCUAUCUCCCAGUUUUCGGAAGCUUUCGGUUGACCAUAUUGUCUCUGCAUAUAAGAGGACGAAAAGAAGGGCAAUUUUUUUGGAUUAUGAUGGAACAGUUGUGUCUCAAGCUUCAAUUAUUAAAACCCCAACACCUGAAGUCAUCUCUGUUCUGAACAACCUGUGUAAUGACCCUGAGAACACUGUUUUUAUAGUUAGUGGUAGGGGGAAAAGCUCACUUGGUGAAUGGUUUGAUCAAUGUGAGAAUCUGGGUAUUGCGGCUGAGCAUGGAUACUUCAUAAGGUGGAGUAGGACAUCCAAUUGGGAAACCAAUCCCAUUGCCACAGAUUUUGAUUGGAAAAGAAUUGCUGAACCUGUAAUGACAUCAUAUACCGAGACAACUGAUGGCUCCUAUAUAGAGGCCAAGGAGAGUGCCUUGGUGUGGCACCAUCAAGAUGCUGAUCCCGACUUUGGAUCUUGCCAGGCCAAGGAGCUUUUGGAUCAUCUUGAAAAUGUCCUUGCAAAUGAGCCUGUAGUUGUUAAGAGGGGACAGCAUAUUGUUGAAGUAAAACCACAGGGAGUUACUAAAGGAUUGGUUGCAGAGAAAGUUCUCUCAACAAUGAUCAGUAAUAGCAAACCACCGGAUUUUGUUAUGUGCAUUGGGGAUGAUAGAUCCGACGAGGACAUGUUUGAAAGCAUAUCAACCACGUCUUAUAGCUUAUGUUUACCGGCAGCUCUGGAGAUCUUUGCAUGCACUGUUGGCCAAAAACCAAGCAAAGCUAGGUACUAUCUUGAUGAUACUGUGGAUGUUGUGAGAUUGCUUCAAGGUCUGGCCACUGCUUCAAAUAUCAAGCUAAGGUGUAGUUCAGAAACUCAAGUUUCCUUCCAAAAUUCUGCUUGAAAUGCACACAGGUUGAGAAGCAAUGGUGUGGAUAUGGACGUGUUGAAAAGGAUUGCUCUAUUACUACAGCAAUUUGGGAUUGGUCUUUGCUUUUGACAUUUAACUUAUUUGUUGCAAGGUGGGGGGGCUGCUUGAUGCAGCUCAUGGUUCCUUUAGAGAGGCAGAUGAGCACCUGGGAAUAUGGUUGUCUGGAAUCGUCACCGACUGACUGACAUAGCAUUUUUUGUUUACUUUGAAAGGUGGGCCGGUCUGCGUAUCUAUCCGCGCAUAUUAGGCACCAUUCAUCAGAUGUUAAUUACAGGUAUAGUUACCGAUACAUGGAAAGUCAUUCUACUAUGGACGUGUUCCUCCUAGGGCUAUGCUUUCUGGCCGGAGAUCCCAAUGAGGAUGGUACUUUUCACCUUCACCCCUUAAAACUGAACAGGUUUCUUGACCCAGACGAUGUAUAGAGAACUUCAUACUUCACAGAAUGUAAGAUAAUCCUAUUUUUCUUUUGACCUA